rnacentral:tRNA from 1 species
GGGGGCAUAGCUCAGUGUGUUAUCUACGAGAUGCGAAACUAGCCUAAUCAGCUAGCAAAGCAAAUCUAUUGGGAUAGCCGGUAGAGCGCAUGAAUGAUAAUCAUGAGGUCGGUGGUUCGAGUCCACUUGUUCCCG